rnacentral:rRNA from 1 species
UACGAAGGGGGGCUAGCGUUGCUCGGAAUGACUGGGCGUAAAGGGCGCGUAGGCGGAUGGCACAGUCAGAUGUGAAAUUCCCGGGCUUAACCUGGGGGGCUGCAUUUGAUACGUGUUGUCUUGAGUUCGGAAGAGGGUCGUGGAAUUCCCAGUGUAGAGGUGAAAUUCGUAGAUAUUGGGAAGAACACCGGUGGCGAAGGCGGCGACCUGGUCCGACACUGACGCUGAGGCGCGACAGCGUGGGGAUCAAACAGG